AAAGAGACUAAGCUAAAGAAAAUGAAUGUAUGCUAAGCUAAGGUCAAAGUGCUCCCACCAAACCCGGAGAUCAGCUGAGUGGAUUAAAAAAGGGUAAACUCAACUAAGUUAUAAAAUGUGGAGUGUUCCUUUACAAAAGUGUCAUGUCGUCUGUAACAGGGACUACAUGGACACAGGAAGUAGUGGAUCAAAUUCUGAAUAAUGAAGAUGUUGAAAAAUGUAAACGAGCCCCCACUCAGGUGCGCAUGACAUUGUUAGAGAUGACCACUGCAGAUGAUCCAAGUGCAGAUGCAGGAGAAUGGACGCAAGUAGUUAAGAACAUACAACACAAUCAUGAGGAAAAUACUGAAUUGACAGAUGAGCAGUAACUAUCAUGAACUCUCCUACAAAGAUGCAGACUCCAGCUCGUGACCGAUCCAACACCAGAACUCUCACCAUCCUUCACCAUCUCCCCGGAGCACUUGAGCACGCACCCCAAGAAGAGCACUACUUUAAUCACUAUUUCACUUGUAAAUAAAGCACCCUCCGGGGACUUGUUUGUAACUCAACUCAACUGUGUUUGUGUUUUCCCUCUGCCUCGCUACAAUACCUAUAAUUUCAUUACCCUGCUCAUGAAGUUAACCACAUUGCUCAAUUCUUUGGACGGCAGUUAUCAAAAUCUACAAUAGAUCAUAUUGUCCAAAUGACAACUUUUUCUGUUAUGCG